rnacentral:rRNA from 1 species
GUACUGUGCAAACGUUAUUCGGGAAUCACUGGGGCUUAAAGGGUGCGUAGGCGGUUGAUUAAGUAGGGGGGUGUGAAAGCUCUCGGGCCUAACCGAGGGAAUUGCGCUCUAAACUGAUCGACUUGAGUGAGAUAGGGGUGUGCGGAACUUCCAGUGGAGCGGUGAAAUGUGUUGAUAUUGGAAGGAACGCCGGUGGCGAAAGCGGCACACUGGGUCUCAACUGACGCUGAGGCACGAAAGCCAGGGUAGCGAACGGGAUUAGAUACCCCGGUAGUCCUGGCUGUAAACGAUGAGCACUAGACGGGAGGAGCUUCGGCUCAUCCGGUCGCAGCGAAAGCAAUAAGUGCUCCGCCUGGGGAGUAUGGUCGCAAGGCUG